CUUUGGUGGCGACCGGCGCACGGGUGCGUAACGCGUAUGCAACCUACCUUUAACAGGGGCAUAACACUGAGAAAUUGGUACUAAUUCCCCAUAACAUUCGAGAAGGCAUCUUCUUGGGUUAAAAACUCCGGUGGUUAAAGAUGGGCAUGCGUUGUAUUAGCUAGUUGGUGAGGUAACGGCUCACCAAGGCAACGAUACAUAGGGGGACUGAGAGGUUAACCCCCCACAUUGGUACUGAGACACGGACCAA
rnacentral:rRNA from 1 species